rnacentral:sRNA from 1 species
AGGUUUCUUCUUCUUCUUUG